GGGCCUGUAGCUCAGCUAGGUAGAGCAUCUGGCUUUUAACCAGGCGGUCGGGGGUUCGAUUCCCUCCAGGCCCG
rnacentral:tRNA from 1 species